rnacentral:misc_RNA from 1 species
GAUGAAGAACGUAGCGAAAUGCGAUAAGUAAUGUGAAUUGCAGAAUUCAGUGAAUCAUCGAAUCUUUGAACGCACAUUGCGCCCGCCAGUAUUCUGGCGAGCAUGCCUGUUCGAGCGUCAUUUCAACCAUCAAGCCCCAGGCUUGUGUUGGAGCCCUGCGGCUGCCCGCAGGCCCUGAAAACCAGUGGCGGGCUCGCUAGUCACACCGAGCGCAGUAGCACAUCUCGCUCAGGGCGUGCGGCGGGCUCCUGCCGUGAAACCCCCCACUGUAACCCCAAAGGUUGACCUCGGAUCAGGUAGGAAUACCCGCUGAACUUAAGCAUAUCAAUAAGCGGAGGA